rnacentral:rRNA from 1 species
CCUUAGAUGUUCUGGGCCGCACGCGCGCUACACUGACAGAGCCAACGAGUGUAAACCUUAGCCGAGAGGCUUGGGUAAUCUUGUUAAACUCUGUCGUGCUGGGGAUAGAGCAUUGCAAUUAUUGCUCUUCAACGAGGAAUAUCUAGUAAGCGCAAGUCAUCAGCUUGCGUUGAUUACGUCCCUGCCCUUUGUACACACCGCCCGUCGCUACUACCGAUUGAAUGGCUCAGUGAGGCCUUCGGACUGGCUCCAGGAGGUCGGCAACGACCACCCAGAGCCGGAAAGUUGGUCAAACUUGGUCAUUUAGAGGAAGUAAAAGUCGUAACAAGGUUUGAAGUAAGAUCGUUCCACAGGUGACGCUUAUGAGAAGCCUUUGUGGCCCUGCAAAGGGUACCUGCCGCGACUAUAAACAAAGAAUGUGGGUAUUAAAUCGCAAGUCAGCUCCGGCUGGCCACACUUUCGAAUUGCGGGGACUCCCUAAAGCUCUGUUCUACCAACCGCCCGAGGAAACUCGCGCGGGGCCUUUGUUAACAGCAUUGGGUACGGUAACAAAGAACUGAGAUAUGUUGGCUGGGCCAACGGAAUGGGUGAUCCGCAGCCAAGUCCCUAAAGCGCCCCGGGUGCCAUGGGAAAGGUUCACAGACUAAGUGGAAGUGGGCUGAACUGGCGGUUCAGCUUAAGAUAUAGUCGGGCCCUGGUUGAAAAAUCCGGGGAGUCACUGUUCCGUAGGUGAACCUGCGGAAGGAUCAUUACCAAAACAAAGCGAACUUGGCCUCCGGGUCUUGAGAGCUUCAACCUCUUGUGAACCAAACCUUUAUUUUCGCUUCGGCAGCAGUGGUUUCUGUCAUGUCAGCCUGCCGUUAGCACCAAACCAAAACUUGCAGUAUCUCAUGUCUGAAGUCAAAUUUUUGAAUCAAAUCAAAACUUUCAACAACGGAUCUCUUGGUUCCCGCAUCGAUGAAGAACGCAGCGAAACGCGAUAGUUAAUGUGAAUUGCAGAAUUCAGUGAAUCAUCGAGUCUUUGAACGCAUAUUGCGCCCAUUGGUAUUCCAUUGGGCAUGUCUGUUUGAGCGUCAUUACAAACCCUCGACCCAGGUCGGUUUUGAGCUGGCUUAACGGGUGCAAACCCAAGCCGGUUUUAAAGUUGUAGGCUUUGCUGACAGCUGCUCCAAACCAACAACAUAGUAAAACAUACUUGUUCUAGGUGGGGUGGUUCCAGCCUUGAAAAUGACACUUGUGGUUUGACCUCAGAUCAGAUAAGGAUACCCGCUGAACUUAAGCAUAUCAAUAAGCGGAGGAAAAGAAACCAACAGGGAUUGCCUCAGUAACGGCGAGUGAAGCGGCAAUAGCUCAAAUUUGAAAUCUGGAGCCUUCGGCUUCCGAGUUGUAAUUUGAAGAGGAUGUUUCGGUUGCGGCCACGGCCCAAGUUCCUUGGAACAGGACGUCAUGGAGGGUGAGAAUCCCGUACCUGGCUGUUGGCUUGCUUCCAUGUGAAACUCCUUCGAAGAGUCGAGUUGUUUGGGAAUGCAGCUCAAAAUGGGUGGUAAAUUUCAUCUAAAGCUAAAUAUUGGCGGGAGACCGAUAGCGCACAAGUAGAGUGAUCGAAAGAUGAAAAGCACUUUGAAAAGAGAGUUAAACAGUACGUGAAAUUGUUGAAAGGGAAGCGCUUGCAAUCAGACUCGCUUUCGGUUGAUCAACGUUCCUUCUGGUUCGUGCACUCUGCCGUUGGCGGGCCAGCAUCAGCUGGGGCGGUGGGACAAAGACUUCAGGAAUGUGGCUCUCUUCGGGGAGUGUUAUAGCCUGUUGUGCAAUGCCACCAGUCCCGGCUGAGGUCCGCGGUUUAUCCUAGGAUGCUGGCUUAAUGGUUGUAAGCGAC